GACGAACGCUGGCGGCGUGCUUAACACAUGCAAGUCGAACGGAAAGGCCCUGCUUUUGUGGGGUGCUCGAGUGGCGAACGGGUGAGUAACACGUGAGUAACCUGCCCUUGACUUUGGGAUAACUUCAGGAAACUGGGGCUAAUACCGGAUAGGAGCUCCUGCUGCAUGGUGGGGGUUGGAAAGUUUCGGCGGUUGGGGAUGGACUCGCGGCUUAUCAGCUUGUUGGUGGGGUAGUGGCUUACCAAGGCUUGGACGGGUAGCCGGCCUGAGAGGGUGACCGGCCACAGUGGGAUUGAGAAAGGGCCCAGACUCCUACGGGAGGCAGCAGUGGGGAAUAUUGCACAAUGGGCGGAAGCCUGAUGCAGCAACGCCGGGUGCGGGAUGACGGCCGUCGGGUUGUAAACCGCUUUCGCCUGUGACGAAGAGUGAGUGACGGUAAUGGGUAAAGAAGCACCGGCUAACUACGUG
rnacentral:rRNA from 1 species